AACGAACGCUGGCGGCAUGCCUAACACAUGCAAGUCGAACGAUGGUCUUCGGCUCAUAGUGGCGCACGGGUGCGUAACGCGUGGGAAUCUGACCUUGGGCUCGGAAUAACAGUUGGAAACGACUGCUAAUACCGGAUGAUGUCGAUAAGACAAAAGGUUUAUUGUCGGAGGAUGAGCCCGCGUGGGAUUAGCUAGUUGGUGGGGUAAAGACCUAACGAGGCGACGAGCCGUAGCUGGUAUGAGAGGAUGCUCAGACACACUGGGACUGAGACACGUCCCAGACUCCUACGGGAGGCAGCAGUGUGGAAUAUUGGACAAUGGGCGCGAGCCUGAUCCAGCAAUGCCGCGUGAGUGAUGAAGGCCUUAGGGUUGUAUAGCUCUUUUACCCGUGAAGAUAAUGACUGUACCGGGAGAAUAAGCCCCGGCUAACUCCGUG
rnacentral:rRNA from 1 species